CAAGGAAGACUAGUGUUAUUCAUCUUAAUUAGGUUUAAAGGGUACCUAGACAGUAUUUCUAGCCUCAAAGGGAACAGACUUACUAGAGUUUAUGGGAGAGGAAAUAUUAGAACCAUUGGAGUAGAGAUAAAUGUUUGAUACUAAUGGGACGGAUAGCGACGAAGGCAAACCUCUAUGUAAUAACUGACGUUGAGGGACGAAGGCUUGGGGAGCGAAUAGGAUU
rnacentral:rRNA from 1 species